GGAAAAGCGGCUGUCGAAGCGGUGAGUUGUAGCCUCAUUUACGGAUUUAAUAAAUCUCUUUUCUA